GACAGAUGGCGUUAGCGUUGAAUAAUAGACCACAAGGAACAUUACCUAGCGACACUGAGAGAAAUCCGAAGGGUAGUCAUGAGCAAUGUCAAGCAGUUAUGUUGAGAAGUGGAAAACAUCUCAGGGGUAAUAAUGCAGAAAAUUCAGCGACACCGGAGGAAAAAGUUGAUGAGAGUAACGUGGUGGAAGGUAACAAGGAAGAGGGAAUAAAGUUAAACAAUAAGCCAAUUGUUUAUCCUCCACCACCGUUUCAGCAGAGGGUUCAAAAACAGAAGUCAGAUAAGCAG
rnacentral:lncRNA from 1 species